rnacentral:rRNA from 1 species
GAUGAACGCUGGCGGCGUGCUUAACACAUGCAAGUCGAACGAUGAAGCCCAGCUUGCUGGGUGGAUUAGUGGCGAACGGGUGAGUAACACGUGAGUAACCUGCCCUUAACUCUGGGAUAAGCCUGGGAAACUGGGUCUAAUACCGGAUAGGAGCGUCCACCGCAUGGUGGGUGUUGGAAAGAUUUAUCGGUUUUGGAUGGACUCGCGGCCUAUCAGCUUGUUGGUGAGGUAAUGGCUCACCAAGGCGACGACGGGUAGCCGGCCUGAGAGGGUGACCGGCCACACUGGGACUGAGACACGGCCCAGACUCCUACGGGAGGCAGCAGUGGGGAAUAUUGCACAAUGGGCGAAAGCCUGAUGCAGCGACGCCGCGUGAGGGAUGACGGCCUUCGGGUUGUAAACCUCUUUCAGUAGGGAAGAAGCGAAAGUGACUGUACCUGCAGAAGAAGCACCGGCUAACUACGUG